AGAGUGGCCAUCAGCCCUCUCUGCAUCUAUCCUGAUGUGUACAUUGGAUUGCGACACCGACAGUACUAAUUCCUAAAACCUGGAGGCAAAAGAAGAUUUUACACAGACAGAAGAUGUGGAGACAAUGUAACCAUGGAAGCAGAGAUUGGAGCGAUGCAGCCACAAGCCAAGAAUUGCUGGGAGCCAACAGAAGCUGGAAGAGGCAAGGGGCAGACUGCCCCCUAGAACCUCCAGAGGGAGCCAGUCUGACACCUUAACAUUGGCCCACUGGUGUCGACUUUAGGCUUCUGACCUCUAGAGCUGUGAGAGAAUAAAUUUCUACUGUUUUAAGCAA